rnacentral:rRNA from 1 species
GACGAACGCUGGCGGCGUGCUUAACACAUGCCAGUCGAACGGAAAGGCCCUGCUUGCCGGGUACUCGAGUGGCGAACGGGUGAGUAACACGUGGGUGAUCUGCCCUGCACUUCGGGAUAAGCCUGGGAAACUGGGUCUAAUACCGGAUAGGAGCCAUUUUUAGUGUGAUGGUUGGAAAGUUUUUUCGGUGUAGGAUGAGCUCGCGGCCUAUCAGCUUGUUGGUGGGGUAAUGGCCUACCAAGGCGGCGACGGGUAGCCGGCCUGAGAGGGUGGACGGCCACAUUGGGACUGAGAUACGGCCCAGACUCCGACGGGAGGCAGCAGUGGGGAAUAUUGCACAAGGGGCGCAAGCCUGAUGCAGCGACGCCGCGUGGGGGAUGACGGCCUUCGGGUUGUAAACUCCGUUCGCUAGGGACGAAGCUUUUUGUGACGGUACCUAGAUAAGAAGCACCGGCUAACUACGUG